UUAAGCGACUAAGCGUACACGGUGGAUGCCCUGGCAGUCAGAGGCGAUGAAGGACGUGCUAAUCUGCGAUAAGCGUCGGUAAGGUGAUAUGAACCGUUAUAACCGGCGAUUUCCGAAUGGGGAAACCCAGUGUGUUUCGACACACUAUCAUUAACUGAAUCCAUAGGUUAAUGAGGCGAACCGGGGGAACUGAAACAUCUAAGUACCCCGAGGAAAAGAAAUCAACCGAGAUUCCCCCAGUAGCGGCGAGCGAACGGGGAGCAGCCCAGAGCCUGAAUCAGUGUGUGUGUUAGUGGAAGCGUCUGGAAAGGCGCGCGAUACAGGGUGACAGCCCCGUACACAAAAAUGCACAUGCUGUGAGCUCGAUGAGUAGGGCGGGACACGUGGUAUCCUGUCUGAAUAUGGGGGGACCAUCCUCCAAGGCUAAAUACUCCUGACUGACCGAUAGUGAACCAGUACCGUGAGGGAAAGGCGAAAAGAACCCCGGCGAGGGGAGUGAAAAAGAACCUGAAACCGUGUACGUACAAGCAGUGGGAGCCUCUUUAUGGGGUGACUGCGUACCUUUUGUAUAAUGGGUCAGCGACUUAUAUUCUGUAGCAAGGUUAACCGAAUAGGGGAGCCGAAGGGAAACCGAGUCUUAACUGGGCGUUAAGUUGCAGGGUAUAGACCCGAAACCCGGUGAUCUAGCCAUGGGCAGGUUGAAGGUUGGGUAACACUAACUGGAGGACCGAACCGACUAAUGUUGAAAAAUUAGCGGAUGACUUGUGGCUGGGGGUGAAAGGCCAAUCAAACCGGGAGAUAGCUGGUUCUCCCCGAAAGCUAUUUAGGUAGCGCCUCGUGAAUUCAUCUCCGGGGGUAGAGCACUGUUUCGGCAAGGGGGUCAUCCCGACUUACCAACCCGAUGCAAACUGCGAAUACCGGAGAAUGUUAUCACGGGAGACACACGGCGGGUGCUAACGUCCGUCGUGAAGAGGGAAACAACCCAGACCGCCAGCUAAGGUCCCAAAGUCAUGGUUAAGUGGGAAACGAUGUGGGAAGGCCCAGACAGCCAGGAUGUUGGCUUAGAAGCAGCCAUCAUUUAAAGAAAGCGUAAUAGCUCACUGGUCGAGUCGGCCUGCGCGGAAGAUGUAACGGGGCUAAACCAUGCACCGAAGCUGCGGCAGCGACGCUUAUGCGUUGUUGGGUAGGGGAGCGUUCUGUAAGCCUGUGAAGGUGUGCUGUGAGGCAUGCUGGAGGUAUCAGAAGUGCGAAUGCUGACAUAAGUAACGAUAAAGCGGGUGAAAAGCCCGCUCGCCGGAAGACCAAGGGUUCCUGUCCAACGUUAAUCGGGGCAGGGUGAGUCGACCCCUAAGGCGAGGCCGAAAGGCGUAGUCGAUGGGAAACAGGUUAAUAUUCCUGUACUUGGUGUUACUGCGAAGGGGGGACGGAGAAGGCUAUGUUGACCGGGCGACGGUUGUCCCGGUUUAAGCGUGUAGGCUGGUUUUCCAGGCAAAUCCGGAAAAUCAAGGCUGAGGCGUGAUGACGAGGCACUACGGUGCUGAAGCAACAAAUGCCCUGCUUCCAGGAAAAGCCUCUAAGCAUCAGGUAACAUCAAAUCGUACCCCAAACCGACACAGGUGGUCAGGUAGAGAAUACCAAGGCGCUUGAGAGAACUCGGGUGAAGGAACUAGGCAAAAUGGUGCCGUAACUUCGGGAGAAGGCACGCUGAUAUGUAGGUGAAGCGACUUGCUCGUGGAGCUGAAAUCAGUCGAAGAUACCAGCUGGCUGCAACUGUUUAUUAAAAACACAGCACUGUGCAAACACGAAAGUGGACGUAUACGGUGUGACGCCUGCCCGGUGCCGGAAGGUUAAUUGAUGGGGUCAGCGCAAGCGAAGCUCUUGAUCGAAGCCCCGGUAAACGGCGGCCGUAACUAUAACGGUCCUAAGGUAGCGAAAUUCCUUGUCGGGUAAGUUCCGACCUGCACGAAUGGCGUAAUGAUGGCCAGGCUGUCUCCACCCGAGACUCAGUGAAAUUGAACUCGCUGUGAAGAUGCAGUGUACCCGCGGCAAGACGGAAAGACCCCGUGAACCUUUACUAUAGCUUGACACUGAACAUUGAGCCUUGAUGUGUAGGAUAGGUGGGAGGCUUUGAAGUGUGGACGCCAGUCUGCAUGGAGCCGACCUUGAAAUACCACCCUUUAAUGUUUGAUGUUCUAACGUUGACCCCUAAUCGGGGUUGCGGACAGUGUCUGGUGGGUAGUUUGACUGGGGCGGUCUCCUCCUAAAGAGUAACGGAGGAGCACGAAGGUUGGCUAAUCCUGGUCGGACAUCAGGAGGUUAGUGCAAUGGCAUAAGCCAGCUUGACUGCGAGCGUGACGGCGCGAGCAGGUGCGAAAGCAGGUCAUAGUGAUCCGGUGGUUCUGAAUGGAAGGGCCAUCGCUCAACGGAUAAAAGGUACUCCGGGGAUAACAGGCUGAUACCGCCCAAGAGUUCAUAUCGACGGCGGUGUUUGGCACCUCGAUGUCGGCUCAUCACAUCCUGGGGCUGAAGUAGGUCCCAAGGGUAUGGCUGUUCGCCAUUUAAAGUGGUACGCGAGCUGGGUUUAGAACGUCGUGAGACAGUUCGGUCCCUAUCUGCCGUGGGCGCUGGAGAACUGAGGGGGGCUGCUCCUAGUACGAGAGGACCGGAGUGGACGCAUCACUGGUGUUCGGGUUGUCAUGCCAAUGGCACUGCCCGGUAGCUAAAUGCGGAAGAGAUAAGUGCUGAAAGCAUCUAAGCACGAAACUUGCCCCGAGAUGAGUUCUCCCUGACUCCUUGAGAGUCCUGAAGGAACGUUGAAGACGACGACGUUGAUAGGCCGGGUGUGUAAGCGCAGCGAUGCGUUGAGCUAACCGGUACUAAUGAACCGUGAGGCUUAACCUU
rnacentral:rRNA from 1 species